GACAGAGGUGCCGAGCGUUAGGCGGAAUCACUGGGCUUAAAGCGUGUGUAGGCGGGUCGUUAAGUGUCUUGUGAAAUCCCACCGCUCAACAAUGGAACAACUGGGCAUACUAGCGACCUUGAGAGACCCAGAGGCGAGCGGAACAAGCAAUAGAGCGGUGAAAUGCGUAGAUAUCGCUUGGAACGCCGACGGUGAAAACAGCUCGCUAAAGGUCACCUGACGCUGAGACACGAAAGCCAGGGGAGCGAACAGG
rnacentral:rRNA from 1 species